rnacentral:rRNA from 1 species
UACGUAGGGGGCAAGCGUUGUCCGGAUUUAUUGGGCGUAAAGAGCGUGUAGGCGGCCAGGCAGGUCUGCUGUGAAAACUCGAGGCUUAACCUCGAGCUGUCGGCGGAAACCAUCUGGCUAGAGUCCGGAAGAGGAGAAUGGAAUUCCCAGUGUAGAGGUGAAAUUCGUAGAUAUUGGGAAGAACACCAGUGGCGAAGGCGGCUAACUGGUCCGAUACUGACGCUGAGGUGCGAAAGCGUGGGGAGCAAACAGG